rnacentral:rRNA from 1 species
ACGCACGCUGGCGGCGUGCUUAACACCUGCCAGUCGAACGGAAAGGCCCCUUUGGGGGUACUCGAGUGGCGAACGGGUGAGUAACACGUGAGUAACCUGCCCUUGACUUCGGGAUAACUUCAGGAAACUGGGGCUAAUACCGGAUAGGAAUCCUUGCUGCAUGGUGGGGGUUGGAAAGCUUCGGCGGUUUUGGAUGGACUCGCGGCUUAUCAGCUUGUUGGUGGGGUAGUGGCUUACCAAGGCUUUGACGGGUAGCCGGCCUGAGAGGGCGACCGGCCACAUUGGGACUGAGAUACGGCCCAGACGCCUACGGGAGGCAGCAGUGGGGAAUAUUGCACAAUGGGCGGAAGCCUGAUGCAGCAACGCCGCGUGCGGGAUGACGGCCUUCGGGUUGUAAACCGCUUUCAGCAGGGGCGAAGCUUGUGGUGACGGUACCUGCAGAAGAAGCACCGGCUAACUACGUG